AUUCCAGCUCCAAUAGCGUAUACUAAAGUUGUUGCAGUUAAAAAGCUCGUAGUUGAAUUUCUGGUCUUGGACAGCGGUCUGCCUCAAAAGAGGUACGCACCAUCUAUCCGAGUCCAUCCUCGGGGAAAACAUGUGUGUGAUUCAGUUCAUGUGCAUGGGAUCCUCGUCAUUUACUGUGAGCAAAAUAGAGUGUUCAAAGCAGGCUUAUGCCGUUGAAUAUUUUAGCAUGGAAUAAUAAGAUAAGACCUUGGUCUAUUUUGUUGGUUUGUACUCCAAGGUAAUGAUUAAUAGGGACAGUUGGGGGUAUUCGUAUUCAAUUGUCAGAGGUGAAAUUCUUGGAUUUAUUGAAGACGAACUACUGCGAAAGCAUUUACCAAGGAUGUUUUCAUCA
rnacentral:rRNA from 1 species